rnacentral:lncRNA from 1 species
GUGGAAGCACGUGUGGACUUUGUCAAUUUUGUCUGCAUAGAACCGUUCCACGGUCGGUAGCAAGUUCUUCGACAAAGAAAAGUGCUUGGAACAUGCCGCGGACGCCUAUAUGUGCAGGUAACGAUAUCAAGGCACCAAAAAGCUGUGUUAACUCCUCAGUCUUUCCUCAACGAGAAUGGAGCCUCUCAGCUCAGAUAUCAUUAAUUUCAAGACCAGAGAGCUUCAAUCACUCUUAGUCAAGGUUCUCUCUCUAGCCUUUGCCUUCACUGCUUCGGCAUCGUCACAGGGCAUCAAUUUCAACUUCCAGACUUUCAACGAUAGUAUCAUAAAACGCCAAGGCGAUUCAAGUUAUGAUGGGAGCUUCAUCCAACUUACAAAGUCCAUUGGACGUGAGUCGCCCGGUGGUUAUAGCGUGGGGUGGGCCAUGUACCGCGAGCCGAUGCGCCUUUGGGAUAAGGCGACCGGGAACGUGGUGGAUUUCACCACCCCUUUCACCUUUGUCAUCAAUUCGAGCCACAGCACGGAUUUUGCUGAUGGAUUGACCUUCUUUCUUGUGCCUGAAGGGUCUGAACUCCCAGGCAACUCGUCAGGAGGAAAACUUGGUCUUGAAGGUCUGCAACGCAGUCCGCCCAGCUCUUUUUUUUCAUUUGUAGCCAUUGAGUUCGACACUUACUACAAUCCUGUUUUCGAAUGGAUGAAUUGUUCACAUGUGGGUAUAGACUUGAAUGAUCUCACUUCCAGAAUUGCAACCUGCGUCGAUUGGUUCAAUGAUAAAAUCAUGAAUGGUGGGCAGAUUAAUGCUACGAUAGCAUACAAUUCUAGCACGCAGAACUUGACCGUUCUCAUGAUAGACGCUGAUGCCACGAGUAGCAACAUAAAUUCCUCCGUCAUCCAUUAUAGAGUCAACAUGACAGAUUAUUUUCCGAAGGAGUGGGUAAAUUUCGGUUUCUCGGCUGGCACAGGUUUAUCUUUCGAGUUGCACACUAUUGAGGCAUGGGAAUUCAGCUCAAACGUGCACGUGGCUGGAAAAAAGAGCAAGUCAUGGCUGUGGUCUAUCUUAGGCUCAGGUUCUUUCCUGUUGGGAAUAACGGAUCCCCGAAAUCUGGAUUCGACACCGAAUCGAACCCCUAAAUUAAGCGGAAGACGAAGCCCGGGAAAAACAACACGCAUCACCGAUCCUAAAGCACACCACGGAUUCGAGCGUACCUUUUAGCCACAGAUUAAACACCGACGUUGAUGGAGGAAGAGAAACUGAGCAAUCCGAUCCGAUGAAGCCUUGAAUGGAGGAAGAUCAAGCCGUAUGCUUACUGUCUUUUGUUUUUGGGAGAGAGAGAGAGCGUGGAAAACGUACGUCUUUUCCUUU